rnacentral:rRNA from 1 species
AUUGAACGCUGGCGGCAUGCCUUACACAUGCAAGUCGAACGGGCGUAGCAAUACGCUAGUGGCGAACGGGUGAGUAAAGCAUCGGAACGUACCCAGUCGUGGGGGAUAACGUAGCGAAAGUUACGCUAAUACCGCAUACGUCCUGAGGGAGAAAGCGGGGGACCGUAAGGCCUCGCGCGAUUGGAGCGGCCGAUGUCAGAUUAGCUAGUUGGUAGGGUAAAAGCCUACCAAGGCGACGAUCUGUAGCUGGUCUGAGAGGACGACCAGCCACACUGGGACUGAGACACGGCCCAGACUCCUACGGGAGGCAGCAGUGGGGAAUUUUGGACAAUGGGGGAAACCCUGAUCCAGCCAUGCCGCGUGAGUGAAGAAGGCCUUCGGGUUG